rnacentral:rRNA from 1 species
AUGGCCUGGUCAUUGUUUGAUGGGAUCAUCACCUUGGGGAGAGGAACUACGGACUCCUCUGCCGUACCUGGCAAUACGUCGUCUAUCCACUCUGUCGAAGCGUCGGCCGGUGAAGUGCUCUGCGCCGGAGCAUUGGCAGCUGCGUGCUGGGCGGCGUGGAGGUACUUCCAGUACAGUAGAUGCCUGCGCACCUACGGCCGGGACGUGACGGCCUUGGCCGGCAAGGCCGAUCCGGUGAUCGGGCGUGAUGACGAGAUUGAUCGUCUCAUACGCAUCCUCUGUCGCCGGACCAAGAACUGCGCCGCGCUUGUGGGCGCCGCCGGGGUCGGCAAGACGGCCAUCGUCGAGGGCCUCGCCCAACGCAUCGUCGCCGGGAAGGUCCCGUCCAAGCUCGCCGGAGCGCGUGUCAUUGAGCUCAACCUCGCGGCGAUCGUGGCUGGCACAACGUACGUUGGCAUGUUCGAGGAGCGUAUGACGGACUUUGUCAAGAAGGUGGAGGCUGCACGCGGCAAGGUGAUCUUGUUCGUCGACGAGAUGCACAUGCUUCUCGGCGCCGGAGCGGCCACGGGCACCCAGAUGGACGCGGCCAACAUGCUGAAGCCGGCAUUGGCUCGUGGCCAUAUCCGAUGUGUGGGCGCCACUACUGACGAUGAGUAUUGCAUGUACAUCGAGAAGGAUCCUGCACUCGAGCGGCGGUUUCAAAAGGUGCACGUUAAGGAGCCCAGCACCCAUUCCACCAUUGCCAUCCUCCAGGGGCUUAAACCCCGGUACCAGAAGCAUUAUGGCCUCGAAAUUCGUGAUGCUACCAUUGAUGCUGCCGUACACCUCGCUGACCGCUAUAUUGCAGGUCGUCGGUUUCCUGAUAAGGCAAUUGAUCUCAUUGACGAGGCUUGCACGACAAUAGAGCUAGGAAGAGGAAAUCCAGUUGUUGCGCCGGAUCAUAUUGCACAGCAGUGUGCUUGUCAUGUAUAUGUCUGAACUGGGGUUUUUGGUUUGAAGGUUGUGAGCGGAUGGACUGGAAUUCCUAUAACCACGCUUAAUCAAGAGGAGAGUGUCAAGUUAAUCCACUUAGCCGAUAGAUUGCAUGAGAGGGUUGUUGGGCAGAAUGAAGCCGUCAAUUUAGUUGCAGAAGCAGUGUUGCGUUCAAGGGUUGGUCUUCACCAAGCUGGCUAACCGAUAGGCUCCUUCCUUUUUUGGGGCACAACGGGUGUUGGAAAAACAGAGCUUGCAAAAGCUCUCGCCGAACAACUAUUUGGUAGUGAGAAAAUGAUGCUUCGCUUUGAUAUGUCUGAGUAUGUUAGUCCCGAGUCCGUGCUACGUCUCGUUGGAGCACCCCCAAGCAAUCAUGGUUAUGAAGAUGGUGGACAACUGACCGAGAAAGUUAGGAGGCGCCCAUACAGUGUUAUCCUUUUUGAUGAGGUGGAGAAGGCAUAUCCGUCAGUGUUGAAUGUUUUUCUUCAGCUCCUUGACGAUGGUGUGCUGACUGAUGGUAAAGGACACAAUGUAGAUUUCAAGAAUACAAUUAUCAUUAUGACCUCAAAUGUUGGGGCAGAGCACCUAAAUGUAGGAGUGGCUGGAGAAAAGACAAUGACUGCUUCGCGAAACCUUCUCAUGAAACAGGUUCAAAAAUGCUUCAAGCCUGAAUUUCUCAAUAGAUUAAGUGAAAUUGUAGUAUUUGAGCCGCUCUCACACCAUCAUCUGAAAGAAAUCGUGAAUAUCCAACUGAAGAGUGCCCUUGCUAAAAUAGUUGGCAAGGGCAUAUCUGUUGUUAUAAAUGAUGCCGUGUUGGAUGUCAUUUUGUCGGAAUCACACGACCCGUCGUACGGUGCAAGGCCCAUAAAAAGGUGGAUAGAAAAGAACAUAAUGACAAUUAUCUCCAAGAUGCUGGUCAAUGGAGAAGCCACUGAAGGAUCAACAAUCUCCAUUGAUUCGACCAGCGACAAGAAAGGGUUGAAAUACCAAUUGGCACAGAAGAAAAAUGUGACGGGUCAGUGA